rnacentral:rRNA from 1 species
UUAAAGUUGUUGUGGUUAAAAAGCUCGUAGUUGAACCUUGGGCCUGGCUGGCCGGUCCGCCUCACCGCGUGUACUGGUCCGGCCGGGCCUUUCCCUCUGUGGAACCCCAUGCCCUUCACUGGGUGUGGCGGGGAAACAGGACUUUUACUGUGAAAAAAUUAGAGUGCUCCAGGCAGGCCUAUGCCCGAAUACAUUAGCAUGGAAUAAUAGAAUAGGACGUGCGGUUCUAUUUUGUUGGUUUCUAGGACCGCCGUAAUGAUUAAUAGGGAUAGUCGGGGGCAUCAGUAUUCAAUCGUCAGAGGUGAAAUUCUUGGAUUGAUUGAAGACUAACUACUGCGAAAGCAUUUGCCAAGGACGUUUUCAUUAAUCAAGAACGAAGGUUAGGGGAUCGAAAACGAUCAGAUACCGUUGUAGUCUUAACAGUAAACUAUGCCGACUAGGGAUCGGUCGAUGUUAUCUUUUUGACUCGAUCGGCACCUUACGAGAAAUCAAAGUUUUUGG